rnacentral:rRNA from 1 species
AUACGUAGGGGGCGAGCGUUGUCCGGAAUGAUUGGGCGUAAAGGGCGCGUAGGCGGCCCGGUAAGUCUGGAGUGAAAGUCCUGUUUUUAAGAUGGGAAUUGCUUUGGAUACUGUCGGGCUUGAGUGCAGGAGAGGUAAGUGGAAUUCCCAGUGUAGCGGUGAAAUGCGUAGAGAUUGGGAGGAACACCAGUGGCGAAGGCGACUUACUGGACUGUAACUGACGCUGAGGCGCGAAAGUGUGGGGAGCAAACAGGAUUAGAUACCCUGGUAGUCCACACUGUAAACGAUGAAUACUAGGUGUAGGGGGUAUCGACUCCCUCUGUGCCGCAGUUAACACAAUAAGUAUUCCGCCUGGGGAGUACGGCCGCAAGGUUGAAACUCAAAUGAAUUGACGGGG